ACGAAUAAAAAAUUUUAUGGGUCACAAAUUAUUCAUUGGUCACAGAAUCAAAAUUUUUAUUGGUCACAACUCAUUUAUUCAUUGCAAAUUAUUAAAUUAAUUAGUCACUAUUAGUUUUUCAGUCACAACUUAAUCAAUUGUAAGUCACAGUCACACAUUCAGUCACAUAUUAUUUACCGAUUAUGAAUUAACGAUUUGUUGAUCAAAUUGGUCACAAACACUCUCUUCAUCCACUGCAAUACAGCCGACCACCACUUCGCCAAAUCCACCACCUAAAUCCCCA
rnacentral:lncRNA from 1 species